UACGGGGGGAGCAAGGCGUUAAUCGGAAUUACUGGGCGUAAAGGGUGCGCAGGCGGCCGAGUGUGUGAGGCGUGAAAGCCCGGGGCUUAACCCCGGAAUUGGCACCUCAAACUACAACGGCUAGAGCAUUGGAGAGGGUAGCAGAAUUCGAUGGUGUAGCAGUGAAAUGGCGUAGAUAUCAUGAGGAAUACCAGAGGCGAAGGCGGCGUACCUGG
rnacentral:rRNA from 1 species